UCUCUCUCUCUUAGUCUUUGUGUUUUGCAUCUGUUUCUUUUUCUUCUUUCUUUUCAAAUGCAGGUCCAUAACUGGCUCUCAGCAGCAACUUGCUAUUCCGGCGAGAAGCGCCGAAGCUAUGCUCCCUAUAACGAUGGUGCAUCCAAGCCUCUCAACUUCAAGACAAAGUCUUUCCUUCAUAUCGUGAUCCUUCACGAUAUGGAUCUUGAAUGGAAUUUGCGCCUCCACGAACGGCUGAGCCAGAUCAUUCGCUUGUUUAUGUUUGUAUCUUUCUUUGUUCAAUCUCUGAAUUUCUCUCUCUCUCUCUCUCUAAACCUGAAUACCUCUUUCUCUAUCUUGUUUGAUCAAUGAUGAUGGUGUGGGUUUGGUGGCUUUGUUGGCGUGGGUUUGUUGACUGAUUAGUGGGUUUAGUGAUUGGUUCAGUGGGUUUGGUGAUUGAUCGGUGGGGUGGAUCGUUGGUUUGGUGAUUGAUCGGUGGUAGCGGUGGUGAUUUGUGGGUUGGUUGGUUUGAUUGGCGAUCGUUGGUUGGGUUUGUUGUUAGUGUGGGUUUCAUACUUGCUUAAGGUGGGUUUGCUGGGUUCAACUUGCUUGAGAUGGUUUUUUCUAGGUUUGAGAUUUUUUUUUUUUUUUUUUUUUGGGUUGACUGUGUUGUAUUUUUGGAUUGAUUUGGUAUUUUGGGGCUUUGGGAUUUGAUGAUUUUGCUGGGGUUUGAGAAAAUGGUGGCUUUAAGAUUUAUGAUUUUGUUUUUGAGCUGAA